GAUGAACGCUGGCGGCGUGCUUAACACAUGCAAGUCGAGCGAAGCACUUUUGCGGAUUUCUUCGGAUUGAAGCAACUGUGACUGAGCGGGCGUGGGCAAGGUACGCUAGGUAACGUGCUCAUACAGGGGAUAACAGUUGGAAACGGCUGCUAAUACCGCAUAAGCGCACAGCAUCGCAUGGUGCAGUGUGAAAAACUCCGGUGGUAUGAGAUGGACCCGCGUCUGAUUAAGCUAGUUGGUUGGGGUAAAAGCCUACCAAGGGCCACGAUUCAGUAGCCGGCCUGAGAGGGUGAACGGCCAACAUUGGGACCUGGAGACACGGCCCAA
rnacentral:rRNA from 1 species